UCUCAGUCCUCAUGCUCGUGAGAUCUACCAGGUACGAUUUUUGGUAGCAUCACGGAGCAUCCUCUUUUUCCUCUGCUGGUAAUUGCAUAUUUGCAUGGCCAUAUAUACCUGCUUGCCCAGAUGCUGAUUCCAUCGAAUUGCAGUGGAGACCUAUUGAUAGUGGCAAAAAUCGGCUUUGCCACUUCAUUUUAAAUUGUUCUGUUAUCGUAGCUUGAGGGAAGGAGGAAUCUUAAACAGGCAAGAUCCAAAUCAUGAUAUUAAAGAAACACUCGAUAACAAGAUUGUUUACAUGCCCGAUGACAAAUACCAAUGGUGCCUGCUGUUGGCACUCUGUGAAUGUAUGUGUAAUUUGACUAUCACUACUAGUACUUCACAUAAUCUAAUCUGUACCAACUCUAGUAUCAUUUCUGUUUUUAUUGAAUAGAAUUGGAUUUAUUUUCAAAAUUAUUUCUCCUUGAUCAUUUGAUGUAAGAUCAGUAUGAUUAGUUUUAUGAUCUUUCUCCAAACUUAUAUGAGAACUGGAAACAAACAAAAUCCAUAAAUUUGAUCGUCAAAAGUCGAGCAACAGAUGUAUAUCUCAAUUUCGCAUGUUGGCUGGUGGUUGACCCCCUUCUCAAAAUCAUGGGAGCACCUUGUCAUGGACUUAGUUUUGUUUCCUCCAACAAACUAAACCGUGAGGCCUUAACUUUUCAUAAAUCCCGUCUUCACGAUAUAACAUUAAGUCAGCCUUUCAACACCCAUGAGAAUUUAACCUUUGAGGCUAAAAUUAUAUGGUAACUUCGAGUAGAGAAUGGAAAUAUAAGGAAAGGUACAAGAUAUUAGUUUUGGAAAAUCUCUUGUAUAAAUGAAAGGAAAAACCUUACAAUAUCUCAAGAUUUAUCUCACUUCAACCUUGGAAUUUACAAAAAAGCUAACAUAUCUAUUUAUGGACAGAGUAUUGGAAGAUAAGUUGAAAUCAAUGGCCAAUGUUUAAUUAGAUCCAAUGGCCAUAAUUGGUCACAAGUUACAAUCCACCUUUAUGCAAGUUGCAAGCCUCUAUUGUUUAAAGUGGUAGCCAAUUUGAUAUUUGUUUCCUUGCAAAGUUGCAAGUCACUACAACUCUCAUGGAAUUUGACAUGUCCCUUUCAAUGUAUUCAAAAUAAACUUUGCUUCCUCCUUCAAGCUUGUUGCAGUCAAGUUGAACAUUGCUUAUCCAUGCAAGUUGCACAAAUUGGCAUCCACGUGCGUCCAAAACAACCAGUUUCAAUCCAUGGUAUUUAUCCCCCUCAAAAUGUUGGUUUUUGACUUGGGAAAACCUUAUUUCCGUGCCUGCACAACCUGCCUGGGGCAGAGCAGUUAUGUCCUUCCGAAGUGCCAUGUCUGUGUUGAGUUUCGCGGCUGCUGCCUUUCUGCCACGAAUUGAGAGGACAUAAGUGCCUGCUCAAAACAUUAGUAUGUUGAUCUUCAUCUUAUAUUUAUUUGCUUCCACUCUUUAUUCUGCGUGUAACAUUUUUCUCUUUAAUCAUCUAUAGCCUAAUUUAAUGAAAGGAUAACUAACUUAGAACUUGCUCGUUUAAUGAUAAAAAUCAAAUGUGAAAAUAGAUAGUCUACUUCCUAAUGGUGGAUUUGAAUGGGGACCGGCAUUCCUGGAUUCUUCUGGGGAGGAAGUUUUACAGGUUACGGAACCAAGUCUUGCGGAAUCAACUGUACAGCAGUGGACCACAAUGGGAACUGCGAAAUACAUAAACUCUAAAACUUCUUUGGCUCAGAAGGAAAAGGUGCUAUGAGAUUGUUUCGGGAGUGGCUGGAAUACAAACAGCAAAACCACUUUCCAAGGGUUCUAAUUAUAACUUGGAAUUCAUGCUGGGAGACGCCAAUGACUCGUGAUCCGGGGAAUCAUAGUAGGGGUUGUAGCAGGAUCAUUGGCUCAGAAUUUUUCUCUGCAGAGCAGUGGGACACUGGGACUGGAGCACCCAAGUAAUAUUCAAUCACAUUCAAAGGAGAACCAAGUCCAAUCCCAAUCACCUUUCUUAGCUGCUAUAAGACUACACAGAGGGAAGAUUGCGCAUUUUGCGGUCCAGUCAUUCACUGUGUAGUUCUAAGUGGUUCUCAUGGGUACAAAUCCAAUCUGCAGCUUAUUUUUCUAUUUGCCUUACUUCAUCUAGCCCUUCUGCAAAUGAGCUAGCUACUAUGACAAUAUUCAGUUACACAAAUAUUUAGAACCAAGGUUUAAUAUGAAUUACAGAUUAUUUUCAUACAAAUUGAUUUUGUACUCGUUUUUCUUUUCAAUGCCAAUUAGCAUAUUUUGCACAAUCAAAUAACAAUUAGCGUAGGUUGAUAGAAAGAGAAGUAUAAAAAGCAAGCGAAGAUAAGAGUGUAAAAUGUCUCACUACACGAGACAAUUUUUUUUCUUAUUUUGGGGAGGGUGCUCAGAUUAAACAAAAACAUGGGCAUGGACUGCUUAAGGAACUAGAUAUUGAAUGUGGAUACCAAAUGUUACACAGGUAGAUCAUCUCUAAUAUCUGUUAUCUGAUAUAAACCGUAUAGGAUAUGCUAACAAAAUGUUCCGCAAUCAACAGACAUCAAUUAAACAGUAUGUGGUUACGAAGUAAUUAUCAUAAAAGCUUGGAUUCGUUCGUAGGAAAUCACAUCGCUAAACAGUCAAUUUAUAACUUGCGUAUGGUGUGAGUGUUGUAGGUGCAAAUAUCUUUUCACUGCUCUGCCCACAGAGUAGUCCUCCACUGUACAGUUCUAACAAAUCUCACUUAGGAUGCAGCGAGAAGCCAAAACCAAUGUCGCAUCUAUCUUGCAGCAAAUAUCUGCUUAAAAGAGCGCAAAGAAAGAGAACAAUAACUACUAACAGAUAAUGACUAAUACAAAGCAGCUGAAGUGAGUUGCAUUAUUAGGGAAAAAUUUAUUUUGGUUCACAUAAGGAUAAUACAAAGGUCUACUGCAGGUAAUAUUUGAAACGUAUUCAAGGGAUUUUUUUUUCCUAUUCUGAUUUCAAAUGAGAUGCUAAACAUUUUGAAAUGAGUCGGCUGGUGUCAAACGGUUAAGAAGAGAUUGGUACUCCUUGCUCCUGGAAUCUGGAUUAUUCAUCAAUCCCGCAGAACAGGACGAGGAUGUGAAAGUUGCCUUGUUUGAGCAUUCCUGAAUGUCAAUGAGCAAGGGAAUCUAUCUACUGUGAGUUAAUAUCAAAAGUUGAGAGCAUGACAACUUCACUAGCCUUAUGUACCACCCAACGGGGCUUGAAGAAGCCUCGUCAUAAGAGCGAGCUUGAUCCAAGAAAGCAUCCACAAUUAACAGAUCCACUAUGGAACUAAGAUGACCACAUUUGGAUCUUGAGCAACAAGAAGGGCUGCCCGAUCACAACUAAGUUCUGCUGCCCUGAGUUAGCAGAUAAUUUGUUCUUCUAAUCUCUCAGCAAUCCACAUAUGACAAGUAACGGUGGAGCUCAUUACAUAAGACCAUCAUAAUUCUAAGCACAAGAAAAAGAAGGGAAAUCAAAAUUUGAGCCAAGCCGAAAUAAGAUGCUUACCAGGCAGAGUAUAGGCCCGACAUGUCAUGAUCACAUUUCAGAUGACCCAACUCAUGAGCCAAAACAGCCUAAAUGUGAGCAACAAAAUAUUAGUAGCGUGCUUUUCUGACUCUGUUAGGUUACCACAGGGGCAAUUGCAGAGUUACCCGGAUGCAUUCAUGAGGAUUCGAGUCCCGUGAACGUC
rnacentral:lncRNA from 1 species